rnacentral:rRNA from 1 species
GAUGAACGCUGGCGGCGUGCCUAAUACAUGCAAGUCGAGCGAACGGACGAGAAGCUUGCUUCUCUGAUGUUAGCGGCGGACGGGUGAGUAACACGUGGAUAACCUACCUAUAAGACUGGGACAACUUCGGGAAACCGGAGCUAAUACCGGAUAAUAUUUUGAACCGCAUGGUUAAAAAGUGAAAGACGGUCUUGCUGUCACUUAUAGAUGGAUCCGCGCUGCAUUAGCUAGUUGGUAAGGUAACGGCUUACCAAGGCAACGAUGCGUAGCCGACCUGAGAGGAUGAUCAGCCACACUGGAACUGAGACACGGUCCAGACUCCUACGGGAGGCAGCAGUAGGGAAUCUUCCGCAAUGGGCGAAAGCCUGACGGAGCAACGCCGCGUGAGUGAUGAAGGUCUUCGGAUCGUAAAACUCUGUUAUUAGGGAAGAACAUAUGUGUAAGUAACUGUGCACAUCUUGACGGUACCUAAUCAGAAAGCCACGGCUAACUACGUG